AACAUUGAGCCUUGAUGUGUAGGAUAGGUGGGAGGCUUUGAAGUGUGGACGCCAGUCUGCAUGGAGCCGACCUUGAAAUACCACCCUUUAAUGUUUGAUGUUCUAACGUUGACCCGUUAUCCGGGUUGCGGACAGUGUCUGGUGGGUAGUUUGACUGGGGCGGUCUCCUCCUAAAGAGUAACGGAGGAGCACGAAGGUUGGCUAAUCCUGGUCGGACAUCAGGAGGUUAGUGCAAUGGCAUAAGCCAGCUUGACUGCGAGCGUGACGGCGCGAGCAGGUGCGAAAGCAGGUCAUAGUGAUCCGGUGGUUCUGAAUGGAAGGGCCAUCGCUCAACGGAUAAAAGGUACUCCGGGGAUAACAGGCUGAUACCGCCCAAGAGUUCAUAUCGACGGCGGUGUUUGGCACCUCGAUGUCGGCUCAUCACAUCCUGGGGCUGAAGUAGGUCCCAAGGGUAUGGCUGUUCGCCAUUUAAAGUGGUACGCGAGCUGGGUUUAGAACGUCGUGAGACAGUUCGGUCCCUAUCUGCCGUGGGCGCUGGAGAACUGAGGGGGGCUGCUCCUAGUACGAGAGGACCGGAGUGGACGCAUCACUGGUGUUCGGGUUGUCAUGCCAAUGGCACUGCCCGGUAGCUAAAUGCGGAAGAGAUAAGUGCUGAAAGCAUCUAAGCACGAAACUUGCCCCGAGAUGAGUUCUCCCUGACUCCUUGAGAGUCCUGAAGGAACGUUGAAGACGACGACGUUGAUAGGCCGGGUGUGUAAGCGCAGCGAUGCGUUGAGCUAACCGGUAC
rnacentral:rRNA from 1 species